rnacentral:rRNA from 1 species
AUUGAACGCUGGCGGCAGGCCUAACACAUGCAAGUCGAGCGAGCGGCGGACGGGUGAGUAAUGUCUGGGAAACUGCCUGAUGGAGGGGGAUAACUACUGGAAACGGUAGCUAAUACCGCAUACCAUCAGAUGUGCCCAGAUGGGCUUAGCUGGUAGGUGGGGUAACGGCUCACCUAGGCGACGAUCCCUAGCUGGUCUGAGCGGAUGACCAUACACACUGGAACGGAGACACGGUCCAUACUCCUAGGGGAGGAAGCAGUGGGGAAGAUUGCACAAUGGGGGCAAGCCUGCAGCCGCCGUGGCGCGUGUGUGAAGAAGGCCUUCGGGUUGUAAAGCACUUUCAGCGGGGAGGCGUUACCCGCAGAAGAAGCACCGGCUAACUCCGUGCCAGCAGCCGCGGUAAUUC